CUUUCUCAACUUCUCACCUACAACAGUGGAUGUGUCCGGUUUCAUUAUCCUAGGACAGUUUUUUAAAAUUGAAUCUAGUAGAUACUAAAAUGUAUACAAAUGUAACUAAUGAUAAAAAUAAUAAUACUCCAGGCUAGAUUUUAAAAAGAUGUAAAAUGAAAAAGGACAAAUAUACGGCAUAAGAUUUGAUUACUUUAAAUAUUUACGAUUUAUGUUUUCUAUCAGAAAUCUUGGUUCAAUUCAAAAACUACAAAACACAUUUUUUGUUUCAUUUUGCAUCUAGUUGGUGAAUAAAUAAGUCGUUUUUUGAUUUUCCAAACGGUUUACAUAAUAAUUGGGGAAAACCGAAAAAAGACGUAAAAUAAAACCAGACGAUACGGUGCGACGACGUAACAAUUUCAUUGUUUUACAUUUUUACGGUUUACGUUUUCUAUGAGAAAUAUCGCUCCAACCGAAAACCUAGCCUACAACAGUGGCACAUCCAACAGCAGUAUCAGCUCGUUUUAAUUUUCACCCUCAUGCAGGGUAUAAUUUUAUAUCAUAUGGUCCUCGUGAUUUGACCCGGCGGACCAAAUCCAAUAAAAAAUCCGCUCAUAUAGGUCGGGCCAGCGUCGGAAGACUCGUAGGAGGAACGGUCGUGUACUCUUCGCCCGUCAUUUAUCGCACCGUUGCGUCUUCGUGGUCCGAG